UUCAAGUAGAAUCCAGGGUACCGGAGUUCUGCACAAAGCUCCCAUGUAAAGAAGCAGAAGAGAGAAUAAGCCAUGUUCACAUACUACUGCAUCAGCCCUUACUCUAGGCCAUGGUUUCUAUGGGAUUAUCCACGGGACUAUGCAAACACCAAAAUCAUCCGCCUGUCCAUCUUCCUCAUCAUUGGUGUGUGUGUGGGUUUUCCAGCUCUGCUUUGGACUGUCAGUGUUCUGUACCGCCAUCAUAAGAGUGGAGGUCGAAUCUCAACCAUCGCCAUCUUCCUCCUCCUCAGUGACCUGCUGGAGCUGAUUCUGAGUCCAGUCCUUUUAAUACUAUUCUAUUCUGCACCUCCAGUCCUCUCAGCAUCCAUUUUCAAAGGUGACUAUGCAGCUUGUGUGGCUUUCAACCUGUUGAUUGGAGCUAGGCUCUGUGGGCAUCAGCUUCACAAGCUUCUGGCAUUAGAGAGCAUUCUUACUCAGAAAUAUCCAUCACUUUCUCUUUUUUUCUCCCCACCCUGCUCUGUUAUCCUCUGUGUCAUUGUGUGGUUGGUAGCAAUUGGGUGCCAGUUCAUCCCAAGCCGAACAAUUGAUGAAAAAAAUAUAUGUUUUUGUGUGUUGCCUGUAGUUAUAUGUCCACUCACAUGUGUAUUGACUUGCAAAGCCUCUCCUGACACCAACCAGCCCACAGACAGGAAGCCAGGAGUGUUAGUGCUAAGUGUUGCCAUGUUUACUCUGAUCAUUUUAUACCUGCCAUUUUUCUUUAAUAUUAUCACUGGCCUGUCUUUUAUGUUGGACUCUCUAGCGAGCAUGAGAUUGAUUUCAGAGCCUCUCCUGUGUGUUCUCAUCUGCAGGGAGAAUCGUAUGGUUGAAACAGCACACACACAAACAGAUCACACACAAUAAAUUAGAAGCUUUUUAUUGGAACUAGAAUUAGAGCUAUUUUUUGAUGUGCACAUCAGAGAUUUGUAGUCUAUGUAAAUAUACUGUAUAUAAAAAGGUUAUAAAAAAGUAACAUUUAAUUUCUAAUGUAACAUUUUUAAUUUCUAAUAUUUCUAUUUGUUAUACACACACACACACACACACACAUAUACACACCAUUACAAAUUAAAUGUAAAUUUUGUCCUUUUUAAUGUAGGUAUAUUUUUUAUCAUAGCAUGUAGUAAAACAUCAUAUCAAAUCUUACUAAGUAUUAAUGUACAUUAUAUGCCACUUCUGUUGUUCUUUUUUGACAUCUAAGAACUUCUGGUUUUUUGGUCCCUUAUUACACUUUUGCUUAACCCAAGAAUGUAACAUUAAAUAAAAAUAAAUACCAAACAUGCAAACAGAAAAGCUGUAGUCCCUUCUUUUGAACAAAAAAAUAGCCACAAGUGGUGAUCUGUGGGGUCCAAACAGUCUUUGCAAAUAGCGCUUUCAAUGCUAGUUGUGUGAAAUGACUGCGGAAAGCUGAUAGACUGAAGGUGGCCAUGUCUUUGAAGUAAUUCCAUGAUCAUUCUUCAGUAAUUCAUAUGAUCAAUCAUGAAUUAUGGCUAUUUCAGUAAACCAGUUCCACCUCCUUAGAAUUGAUUAACAUGUAGCUGUCAUAUUGUUUACAAAUAUGAAAAUAUGAAAACGAAGCAUAGGGAGAACAUGUAAACUCUGUUCACACAGGGUGGAGGUGCCACCCCAGAGGUGCGAGGCAAACUUGCUAACCACAAAGCCACCAUAUCCCCUGUAAUUAGACAUAAAUAUUGUAAUAUAUUAGACUAUUUUGCAAAGUAGAUUUCACAUAUUAUGCAAAUAAUCAUUAAUUUGAGUGGGCAGAGGUAAAUGCUCCAAAAGGCAAUUUUGUAUCACAGUAAUGCUAGGUUUGAUAUGCUGUCACAGAAGACUGGCCAUGAAGCACAAAGCACAACAAGACAGAAUUUGUGCACUUCUGUUUCUUCACAAUGUUAGCAAGUGGAUUAUAAACACUAAGUGGAGUAUAAGUGGAUUACUGAUGCUACAGACUCCACGUGUCUGCAAUGUUUACUUCUUCAUAGGUGUGGAUGAGUGUAUGUGGUGCCCUGUGAUGGACUAGUGUCACAGCCAGGGUCUAUUCUAUUCUAUUCUAUUCUAUUCUAUUCUAUUAGAAUCAGCGAAUCCAGUGCAACCCUGACCAGCAUAAAGUGAUAAUCCAUUACAGAAGAUGAAUGAUUAAUUAAUUAAAAUAAGAAAUAUGGUUUGCAGAAAUGUUUAAUGAAUGUGUUUGAAAGAUUUUACACGCAGGGUUGCAGUUUGUUCUGGGGGUUUUCUAGCAUGUGAUUUUGUUUCAUGUGGUAAAAGAUCUUAUAUAUCUUCUCACUUAUCUGUUUUAUCUUGUCUGUAUGCAUGCUGACAAUGAAGACUCCUUUCAUAAAUGUUUGACAAAUUGCUGUGGUAUAAAUGGAAAAAAUACAUCUUCUGGCAAUUUUAUUGAAAGUAAUCAACUUCCCUUCACAUCAGUCUGCUUCACUGCUCCAGUUUUGAUUAUUUAGCUAUAACAGCAUGUUACAAAAUGUUGUAUUCCUUACACAUACCAUGCUUUAUUACAGCACAUGUAAAGAAGCAGAAGAGAGAACAAGCCAUGUUCAUACCCUCCUGCUCCAGCCCUUACAUUGAUUCAUCGUAUAUUUUACCUAAGUAUGCAAACAUCCUCCUGUCCAUCUUGGUGCCAGAUACCACAGCACACCUUCAGAGGUCUUGCUGAGUCCAUGCCUCGAUGGGUCAGAGCUGUUUUGGUGGCACAAGGGAGACUUACAAAAUAUUAG